GAUGAACGCUGGCGACAGGCUUAACACAUGCAAGUCGAGGGGAAACGCCAUCCUUGCAGGGUACUCGAUUGGCGACGAGGUGAGUACCGGGUAGGAAAUCUGACCUGCCCUUCGGAUUACGCCUGGGUAACUGGGUGUAAUUACGGCUAGGAGCCAUUGUCAGCGUGCGAGUUGGAAAGUUUUUUAGUUGUAGGAUGGGGUUGCGGCUUAUUGGCUUGUUGGUGGAGUAACGGCCUACCAAGGCGGCGAUGAGUAGCCGUUCUGAGAGGGUGGUCCGCCACGUUGGAACUGAGACACGGUCCAAACUCCUCCGGGAAGAAGCAGUGAGGAAUAUUGGGCAAUUGGCGAGAGCCUGAACCAGCCAAGUAGCGUGCACGAUGACGGCUCUAUGGGUUGUAAACUGCUUUUAUAAGGGAAUAAAGUGGGUCUCGUGAGACUUUUUGCAUGUACCUUAUGAAUAAGGACCGGCUAAUUCCGUG
rnacentral:rRNA from 1 species